rnacentral:rRNA from 1 species
CAGCCGCCACGGGAAUACGUAGGUGGCAAGCGUUGUCCGGAAUUAUUGGGCGUAAAGCGCGCGCAGGUGGUUUAAUAAGUCUGAUGUGAAAGCCCACGGCUCAACCGUGGAGGGUCAUUGGAAACUGUUAAACUUGAGUGCAGGAGAGAAAAGUGGAAUUCCUAGUGUAGCGGUGAAAUGCGUAGAGAUUAGGAGGAACACCAGUGGCGAAGGCGGCUUUUUGGCCUGUAACUGACACUGAGGCGCGAAAGCGUGGGGAGCAAACAGGAUUAGAUACCCCAGUAGUCCCUGUCUCUUAUAC